GGGUUGUGAGGUUAAGCGACUAAGCGUACACGGUGGAUGCCCUGGCAGUCAGAGGCGAUGAAGGACGUGCUAAUCUGCGAUAAGCGCCGGUAAGGUGAUAUGAACCGUUAUAACCGGCGAUUUCCGAAUGGGGAAACCCAGUGUGACUCGUCACACUAUCAUUAACUGAAUCCAUAGGUUAAUGAGGCGAACCGGGGGAACUGAAACAUCUAAGUACCCCGAGGAAAAGAAAUCAACCGAGAUUCCCCCAGUAGCGGCGAGCGAACGGGGAGGAGCCCAGAGCCUGAAUCAGCAUGUGUGUUAGUGGAAGCGUCUGGAAAGGCGCGCGAUACAGGGUGACAGCCCCGUACACAAAAGCGCAUGUGCUGUGAGCUCGAUGAGUAGGGCGGGACACGUGGUAUCCUGUCUGAAUAUGGGGGGACCAUCCUCCAAGGCUAAAUACUCCUGACUGACCGAUAGUGAACCAGUACCGUGAGGGAAAGGCGAAAAGAACCCCGGCGAGGGGAGUGAAAAAGAACCUGAAACCGUGUACGUACAAGCAGUGGGAGCACCCUUUGGGGUGUGACUGCGUACCUUUUGUAUAAUGGGUCAGCGACUUAUAUUCUGUAGCAAGGUUAACCGUAUAGGGGAGCCGGAGGGAAACCGAGUCUUAACCGGGCGUUAAGUUGCAGGGUAUAGACCCGAAACCCGGUGAUCUAGCCAUGGGCAGGUUGAAGGUUGGGUAACACUAACUGGAGGACCGAACCGACUAAUGUUGAAAAAUUAGCGGAUGACCUGUGGCUGGGGGUGAAAGGCCAAUCAAACCGGGAGAUAGCUGGUUCUCCCCGAAAGCUAUUUAGGUAGCGCCUCGUGAAUUCAUCUCCGGGGGUAGAGCACUGUUUCGGCUAGGGGGCCAUCCCGGCUUACCAACCCGAUGCAAACUGCGAAUACCGGAGAAUGUUAUCACGGGAGACACACGGCGGGUGCUAACGUCCGUCGUGAAGAGGGAAACAACCCAGACCGCCAGCUAAGGUCCCAAAGUCAUGGUUAAGUGGGAAACGAUGUGGGAAGGCCCAGACAGCCAGGAUGUUGGCUUAGAAGCAGCCAUCAUUUAAAGAAAGCGUAAUAGCUCACUGGUCGAGUCGGCCUGCGCGGAAGAUGUAACGGGGCUAAACCAUGCACCGAAGCUGCGGCAGCGACACUCAGGUGUUGUUGGGUAGGGGAGCGUUCUGUAAGCCUGCGAAGGUGUGUCGUGAGGC
rnacentral:rRNA from 1 species